rnacentral:rRNA from 1 species
CCUACGGGUGACAGCAGUGGGGCAUAUUGCGCAAUGGGCGAAAGCCUGACGCAGCGACGCCGCGUGAGGGAUGAAGGUCUUCGGGUCGUAAACCUCUGUCAGCAGGGACGAACGGUAACUGUGCUAAUCAGCAGUGAAUUGACGGUACCUGCAAAGGAAGCACCGGCUAACUCCGUGCCAGCAGCCGCGGUAAUACGGAGGGUGCGAGCGUUAAGCGGAAUUACUGGGCGUAAAGCGCUCGUAGGCGGUAUGUCAAGUCAAGGGUGAACUCCCCGCGCGCAACGUGGGAACUGCCUUUGAAACUGGCAAAAUGGAGGGUGUGUGAGGAUAGUGGAAUUCCAGGUGUAGGAGUGAAAUCCGUAGAUAUCUGGAGGAACAUCAGUGGCGAAGGCGACUAUCUGGCACAUAACUGACGCUGAGGAGCGAAAGCGUGGGUAGCAAACAGGAUUAGAUACCCGAGUAGUC